CCGGCGACCGGCGGACGGGUGCGUAACGCGUAUGUAACCUACCUUUGACAGGGGGAUGACAUCGAGAAAUUGGUACUAAUACCCCAUAACAUCACCGGAGGCAUCUUCGGUGGUUGAAAACUCAGGUGGUCAGAGAUGGACAUGCGUUGUAUUAGCUAGUUGGUGAGGUAACGGCUCACCAAGGCGACGAUACAUAGGGGGACUGAGAGGUCAACCCCCCCACAUUGGUACUGAGACACGGACCAAACUCCUACGGAAGGCAGCAG
rnacentral:rRNA from 1 species